UGGAGGGGGAGGAGCCCUUCAUUGAACCCUGGUGGGCGGAGCCACACCAUGCUAAUCCUCCCGCCGGAAGUUAGUGGGCAGGACCGGAAGUACAAAAGGCGGGCUGGAGCACUCAGCUGGGAGGUAGCUGCCAGAGAAGCCAGAUGCCUCCUGUGAGCUCCGGAGCUGGGAGGCUGCUGCAGGACUGGCCAGGGCCAUUUACAGACCCGAGCAGGGAGGAGCUGCAAGCGCUGACAGAGGCCUUCUUCCCGGAUGACCCUCUACAGAGCCAGGCCCGAGCUCACGACUCCCGUCACCCCACUGAUUCUCCACGUCAGGUGACCCCCCCCCCCAAAGAGAUGUAGUGGGGCAGCUUGGCCGCCCACAGACCCAGACGGGGAGGAGCCACUCCCCUCAAUGGACUACAGAGAUGUAGAGUCUACUUAUGAGGAGAAGUCAGCAGAUAAUCCAAGAUGGUUGACAGUGGAGACGAUUCCGUGGAGAUGCACAAGGGAG